UGCGUAGGCGGUUUGUUAAGUCAUUUGUAAAAGAUCUCAGCUCAACUGAGUAAAGCGAAUCAAACUGGCAGACUUGAAUACGGUAGAGGUAAGUGGAAUUCCAUGUGUAGCGGUGGAAUGCGUAGAUAUAUGGAGGAACACCAAUGGCGAAGGCAACUUACUGGGCCGGAAUUGACGCUGAGGCACGAAAGCGUGGGUAGCGAACAGGAUUAGAUACCCUGGUAGUCC
rnacentral:rRNA from 1 species